rnacentral:rRNA from 1 species
CCAGCUCCAAUAGCGUAUAUUUAAGUUGUUGCAGUUAAAAAGCUCGUAGUUGGAUUUCGGGUGGGUUCCAGCGGUCCGCCUAUGGUGAGUACUGCUGUGGCCCUCCUUUCUGUCGGGGACGGGCUCCUGGGCUUCACUGUCCGGGACUCGGAUUCGACGAUGAUACUUUGAGUAAAUUAGAGUGUUCAAAGCAAGCCUACGCUCUGAAUACUUUAGCAUGGAAUAUCGCGAUAGGACUCUGGCCUAUCUCGUUGGUCUGUAGGACCGGAGUAAUGAUUAAGAGGGACAGUCGGGGGCAUUCGUAUUUCAUUGUCAGAGGUGAAAUUCUUGGAUUUAUGAAAGACGAACUACUGCGAAAGCAUUUGCCAAGGAUGUUUUCA